rnacentral:lncRNA from 1 species
AAACUAACUACCAUGGUCGAGCUAUUUGUAAUGAAUGUUAUUUUCUUUUACGUCACUCGUUAUAUUUUUCUGAAAAACCCGAUCUUUUUUAUUUAUUUUAUUUUUACCAACUAAACAAGAGUAAACCAACCAAUCCAAGUUAAUCCGAGUAAUUAAAAUUAAUCCACUAAUUCAAAUUAAUCGACCAGUUCUGAUUAAAACCAAUUAAAUCAUAUUAAACGGACCAAUUCAAAAUCUUGUUUAUAUAUCCAUUCAUAGCAUAAGACAUGAAACACCGAUCUAUUAAUUAUAUUUGGGUUUCCA